CACCCAGCCAUGGAAAUGGCUGGCAGAGCAGCAACCCGGUGAGCAGGGCAAUGCUGGGGAGGGCAGCAUAGGCAACCAGGGCACGUGGCUGCUUCUUCCUUGCUUCCCAUCUGCCUUGCAGAUGGGCACCCACAUGAAGAUGGAGCCAGGGCAGGAUGAGGAAACCUGGGCCUGCAGGGAAGGGCAACACAGGUGGCUAUUUUCCAGCCUGUGUCUUCAUCUGGACAAGGCACCAACUGAAGCUUGAGGAAAGCCCAUGCCACACUCUGCACUGCACUGUGGUCCUACAAGAUCUCGGGAUCUGCACUGCAUGGACAGAGGAAGCUCCACAACACCUCUCAGCUACGGUCCCCACCAUGGACUUGCACACAUCAUCUCAAGGAACCAUAUGGACAUGUCUACAAUUGACCCUUGAAGAUAAGGAACAAACAAGAAGAUAA
rnacentral:lncRNA from 1 species